CCAAACUUUUGCAUAGGAUGGUAUGCAGGUGUCAUCGGUGUCACCGAUUCUCACUAGUGUUCCACAUAAGAAAGUUGCCUAAGAAUAAAGGUCACACCGGUGACUUCGGCUAAAAGCUUCAUAUGAAAUCAUGAGCUAAACGAGAUGUCUGAUAAUGGAAAAGACACAGUGGACACACCAUGU